UACGGGGGGAGCAAGCGUUGUUCGGAUUUACUGGGCGUAAAGGGCGCGUAGGCGGCCAGCACAAGUCAGUUGUGAAAUCUCCGGGCUUAACUCGGAAAGGUCAACUGAUACUGUGCGGCUAGAGUGCAGAAGGGGGCAACUGGAAUUCUCGGUGUAGCGGUGAAAUGCGUAGAUAUCGGGAGGAACACCUGCGGCGAAGGCGGGUUGCUGGGCUGACACUGACGCUGAUGCGCGAAAGCCAGGGGAGCGAACGGG
rnacentral:rRNA from 1 species